UUAAGCGACUAAGCGUACACGGUGGAUGCCCUGGCAGUCAGAGGCGAUGAAGGACGUGCUAAUCUGCGAUAAGCGUCGGUAAGGUGAUAUGAACCGUUAUAACCGGCGAUUUCCGAAUGGGGAAACCCAGUGUGUUUCGACACACUAUCAUUAACUGAAUCCAUAGGUUAAUGAGGCGAACCGGGGGAACUGAAACAUCUAAGUACCCCGAGGAAAAGAAAUCAACCGAGAUUCCCCCAGUAGCGGCGAGCGAACGGGGAGCAGCCCAGAGCCUGAAUCAGUGUGUGUGUUAGUGGAAGCGUCUGGAAAGGCGCGCGAUACAGGGUGACAGCCCCGUACACAAAAAUGCACAUGCUGUGAGCUCGAUGAGUAGGGCGGGACACGUGGUAUCCUGUCUGAAUAUGGGGGGACCAUCCUCCAAGGCUAAAUACUCCUGACUGACCGAUAGUGAACCAGUACCGUGAGGGAAAGGCGAAAAGAACCCCGGCGAGGGGAGUGAAAAAGAACCUGAAACCGUGUACGUACAAGCAGUGGGAGCACGCUUAGGCGUGUGACUGCGUACCUUUUGUAUAAUGGGUCAGCGACUUAUAUUCUGUAGCAAGGUUAACCGAAUAGGGGAGCCGAAGGGAAACCGAGUCUUAACUGGGCGUUAAGUUGCAGGGUAUAGACCCGAAACCCGGUGAUCUAGCCAUGGGCAGGUUGAAGGUUGGGUAACACUAACUGGAGGACCGAACCGACUAAUGUUGAAAAAUUAGCGGAUGACUUGUGGCUGGGGGUGAAAGGCCAAUCAAACCGGGAGAUAGCUGGUUCUCCCCGAAAGCUAUUUAGGUAGCGCCUCGUGAAUUCAUCUCCGGGGGUAGAGCACUGUUUCGGCAAGGGGGUCAUCCCGACUUACCAACCCGAUGCAAACUGCGAAUACCGGAGAAUGUUAUCACGGGAGACACACGGCGGGUGCUAACGUCCGUCGUGAAGAGGGAAACAACCCAGACCGCCAGCUAAGGUCCCAAAGUCAUGGUUAAGUGGGAAACGAUGUGGGAAGGCCCAGACAGCCAGGAUGUUGGCUUAGAAGCAGCCAUCAUUUAAAGAAAGCGUAAUAGCUCACUGGUCGAGUCGGCCUGCGCGGAAGAUGUAACGGGGCUAAACCAUGCACCGAAGCUGCGGCAGCGACGCUGAUGCGUUGUUGGGUAGGGGAGCGUUCUGUAAGCCUGCGAAGGUGUGCUGUGAGGCAUGCUGGAGGUAUCAGAAGUGCGAAUGCUGACAUAAGUAACGAUAAAGCGGGUGAAAAGCCCGCUCGCCGGAAGACCAAGGGUUCCUGUCCAACGUUAAUCGGGGCAGGGUGAGUCGACCCCUAAGGCGAGGCCGAAAGGCGUAGUCGAUGGGAAACAGGUUAAUAUUCCUGUACUUGGUGUUACUGCGAAGGGGGGACGGAGAAGGCUAUGUUGGCCGGGCGACGGUUGUCCCGGUUUAAGCGUGUAGGCUGGUUUUCCAGGCAAAUCCGGAAAAUCAAGGCUGAGGCGUGAUGACGAGGCACUACGGUGCUGAAGCAACAAAUGCCCUGCUUCCAGGAAAAGCCUCUAAGCAUCAGGUAACAUCAAAUCGUACCCCAAACCGACACAGGUGGUCAGGUAGAGAAUACCAAGGCGCUUGAGAGAACUCGGGUGAAGGAACUAGGCAAAAUGGUGCCGUAACUUCGGGAGAAGGCACGCUGAUAUGUAGGUGAAGUCCCUUGCGGAUGGAGCUGAAAUCAGUCGAAGAUACCAGCUGGCUGCAACUGUUUAUUAAAAACACAGCACUGUGCAAACACGAAAGUGGACGUAUACGGUGUGACGCCUGCCCGGUGCCGGAAGGUUAAUUGAUGGGGUCAGCGCAAGCGAAGCUCUUGAUCGAAGCCCCGGUAAACGGCGGCCGUAACUAUAACGGUCCUAAGGUAGCGAAAUUCCUUGUCGGGUAAGUUCCGACCUGCACGAAUGGCGUAAUGAUGGCCAGGCUGUCUCCACCCGAGACUCAGUGAAAUUGAACUCGCUGUGAAGAUGCAGUGUACCCGCGGCAAGACGGAAAGACCCCGUGAACCUUUACUAUAGCUUGACACUGAACAUUGAGCCUUGAUGUGUAGGAUAGGUGGGAGGCUUUGAAGUGUGGACGCCAGUCUGCAUGGAGCCGACCUUGAAAUACCACCCUUUAAUGUUUGAUGUUCUAACGUUGACCCGUAAUCCGGGUUGCGGACAGUGUCUGGUGGGUAGUUUGACUGGGGCGGUCUCCUCCUAAAGAGUAACGGAGGAGCACGAAGGUUGGCUAAUCCUGGUCGGACAUCAGGAGGUUAGUGCAAUGGCAUAAGCCAGCUUGACUGCGAGCGUGACGGCGCGAGCAGGUGCGAAAGCAGGUCAUAGUGAUCCGGUGGUUCUGAAUGGAAGGGCCAUCGCUCAACGGAUAAAAGGUACUCCGGGGAUAACAGGCUGAUACCGCCCAAGAGUUCAUAUCGACGGCGGUGUUUGGCACCUCGAUGUCGGCUCAUCACAUCCUGGGGCUGAAGUAGGUCCCAAGGGUAUGGCUGUUCGCCAUUUAAAGUGGUACGCGAGCUGGGUUUAGAACGUCGUGAGACAGUUCGGUCCCUAUCUGCCGUGGGCGCUGGAGAACUGAGGGGGGCUGCUCCUAGUACGAGAGGACCGGAGUGGACGCAUCACUGGUGUUCGGGUUGUCAUGCCAAUGGCACUGCCCGGUAGCUAAAUGCGGAAGAGAUAAGUGCUGAAAGCAUCUAAGCACGAAACUUGCCCCGAGAUGAGUUCUCCCUGACCCUUUAAGGGUCCUGAAGGAACGUUGAAGACGACGACGUUGAUAGGCCGGGUGUGUAAGCGCAGCGAUGCGUUGAGCUAACCGGUACUAAUGAACCGUGAGGCUUAACCUU
rnacentral:rRNA from 5 species